CGGUGAGUAGCGUAGUUUGGUUAGCGCAAUACGUUCGGGACGUAUAGGUCGAAGGUUCAAAUCCUUCCUCACCGA
rnacentral:tRNA from 2 species